rnacentral:rRNA from 1 species
GAGCGGCAGCGGGAAGUAGCUUGCUACUUUGCCGGCGAGCGGCGGACGGGUGAGUAAUGUCUGGGAAACUGCCUGAUGGAGGGGGAUAACUACUGGAAACGGUAGCUAAUACCGCAUAACGUCGCAAGACCAAAGAGGGGGACCUUCGGGCCUCUUGCCAUCAGAUGUGCCCAGAUGGGAUUAGCUAGUAGGUGGGGUAACGGCUCACCUAGGCGACGAUCCCUAGCUGGUCUGAGAGGAUGACCAGCCACACUGGAACUGAGACACGGUCCAGACUCCUACGGGAGGCAGCAGUGGGGAAUAUUGCACAAUGGGCGCAAGCCUGAUGCAGCCAUGCCGCGUGUAUGAAGAAGGCCUUCGGGUUGUAAAGUACUUUCAGCGGGGAGGAAGGUGUUGAGGUUAAUAACCUCAGCAAUUGACGUUACCCGCAGAAGAAGCACCGGCUAACUCCGUGCCAGCAGCCGCGGUAAUACGGAGGGUGCAAGCGUUAAUCGGAAUUACUGGGCGUAAAGCGCACGCAGGCGGUCUGUCAAGUCGGAUGUGAAAUCCCCGGGCUCAACCUGGGGAACUGCAUUCGAAACUGGCAGGCUAGAGUCUUGUAGAGGGGGGUAGAAUUCCAGGUGUAGCGGUG